ensembl:snoRNA
UGGACCAACGAUGCCCACCGGUGGCGUCUGAGGCACAGACGAUGAGCAGUCCGCGCGUGGGACUGGGACGUCCAG